rnacentral:rRNA from 1 species
CCUAUAAGACUGGGAUAACUUCGGGAAACCGGAGCUAAUGCCGGAUAACAUAUAGAACCGCAUGGUUCUAUAGUGAAAGAUGGUUUUGCUAUCACUUAUAGAUGGACCCGCGCCGUAUUAGCUAGUUGGUAAGGUAAUGGCUUACCAAGGCGACGAUACGUAGCCGACCUGAGAGGGUGAUCGGCCACACUGGAACUGAGACACGGUCCAGACUCCUACGGGAGGCAGCAGUAGGGAAUCUUCCGCAAUGGGCGAAAGCCUGACGGAGCAACGCCGCGUGAGUGAUGAAGGUUUUCGGAUCGUAAAACUCUGUUAUUAGGGAAGAACAAAUGCGUAAGUAACUGUGCGCAUCUUGACGGUACCUAAUCAGAAAGCCACGGCUAACUACGUGCCAGCAGCCGCGGUAAUACGUAGGUGGCAAGCGUUAUCCGGAAUUAUUGGGCGUAAAGCGCGCGUAGGCGGUUUCUUAAGUCUGAUGUGAAAGCCCACGGCUCUACCGUGGAGGGUCAUUGGAAACUGGGAAACUUGAGUGCAGAAGAGGAAAGUGGAAUUCCAUGUGUAGCGGUGAAAUGCGCAGAGAUAUGGAGGAACACCAGUGGCGAAGGCGACUUUCUGGUCUGUAACUGACGCUGAUGUGCGAAAGCGUGGGGAUCAAACAGGAUUAGGUACCCUGGUAGUCCACGCCGUAAACGAUGAGUGCUAAGUGUUAGGGGGUUUCCGCCCCUUAGUGCUGCAGCUAACGCAUUAAGCACUCCGCCUGGGGAGUACGACCGCAAGGUUGAAACUCAA